rnacentral:rRNA from 1 species
CCUACGGGGGGCAGCAGUGGGGAAUAUUGGACAAUGGGGGCAACCCUGAUCCAGCCAUGCCGCGUGUGUGAAGAAGGCCCUCGGGUUGUAAAGCACUUUCAGUGAGGAAGAACGCCUGGUGGUUAAUACCCAUCAGGAAAGACAUCACUCACAGAAGAAGCACCGGCUAACUCCGUGCCAGCAGCCGCGGUAAUACGGAGGGUGCGAGCGUUAAUCGGAAUUACUGGGCGUAAAGCGCGCGUAGGUGGCUUGAUAAGCCGGUUGUGAAAGCCCCGGGCUCAACCUGGGAACGGCAUCCGGAACUGUCAAGCUAGAGUGCAGGAGAGGAAGGUAGAAUUCCCGGUGUAGCGGUGAAAUGCGUAGAGAUCGGGAGGAAUACCAGUGGCGAAGGCGGCCUUCUGGACUGACACUGACACUGAGGUGCGAAAGCGUGCGUAGCAAACAGGAUUAGAUACCCCGGUAGUC